rnacentral:rRNA from 1 species
AGCUUAAAAUUCAAAGGAUUUGACGGUAUCCCACCCACCUANGAGGAGCCUGUUCUAUAAUCNAUAAUCCUCNAUACACCCAACCAUUUCUUGCUUUUCAGCCUGUAUACCUCCGUCGCAAGCUUACCAUUUGAAUGUAAAAAAUUAANUUUAAGGAUCCCCCAUCAACACUUCNGGUCAAGGUGCANCCAAUGUAAUGGAAANUAAUGGGCUACAAUUUCUACAAUAAAACAAACNAAACACUGCAUGAAAAACAGUCAUGAAGGCGGAUUUAGUANUAAAAGGAAAAUANAGAGCUCCUUUUAACANGGCUCUGGGAUUUNUACACACCGCCCGUC